GUUAGCCACAUUCCAAUGUGUGCGAAUCAACCAAAAAUGCGAAAUAGCCCUUUAACCGUACAUUUUGCAGACACGUGCACAUUGACUUUUUCGUAGAUCUUAUUGAGAUACACGUGAUUAUCAAAUUUUGUUUCAAUAUGACAAAGCGUACAGGCGUGACACUCAACAAUGUGUAUUUUCACCUUAGGGGACAAGAAAAAAUGGACUUUUUUCUCCUGCCAUGGGGGGGCGCUCUUUUGGGGAGUAAAAAUUCCUUCACAAAUGUGUUGAUGGCUGGACAUUGCAUCAUCCUAGAGAACUUGGAGGCCAGUGAGGACAAAAAUAAAAAGUUAUAAGACUUUUAAGAAUGUGGAUUUUUGGGUUAUCUUUGGCGCCCCCUACAACGUAAACCGUGGGGUGCAGCGUCAUGAUUUGUACAACUUUGAAUGGCCAUGGGGUGUAGAUUGGCCUGAGCAAAUUUGGUGCCGGUGGAACGAAAGCCUUCGGAGGAGUUAGCGAAAUUCCAAUGUGUGCGGAUCGGCAAAAAAUGCGAAAUAACCCUUUAACCGUACAUUUGACAGAUACGCCCACACUGACUUUUUUGUAGAUCGUAUUGAGAUACAUGUGUGUGUCAAUUUUUGUGUCAUUUUGACAAAGCGUACAGGCGUCAGGUGAGUUUUCACCAUAGGGGGCGCUAUGGAGCCAUUUUUCAUUUUUUUGUUUGGGCGACUUCAGAAUAUCAAAUUUUUCACCAGGCCCGGUCGUCCUGCCAAAUUUCCUGAGUUUUCGCCAGUGGGAAGUGGGCCAUUUUCCAGUUUAAAGCGGAGGAAAAAUAACUAGGACCCCGUUGGGGCACUUGCGGGCCCGAGCCGUGUCGCGUCCCCCCCCAACGUGCUGCCUCCCCGUCCCAUUUGUGUCCUCUGGCCAUCGCCCUCUCCGGUAACGCCCAUCACUGCAAAGACCCUUUUCCUUCAUCGGCGUUUGCUGUUCUUCCUGCCAGUGCGUGUUGCUUUCACUUACACUUGCCACAGCCAGCCUCGUGAGUGCCUAGCCUAUUGGAUAUCACUGUCACCUACACAGGACAGUCAUUACCUUUCUAUUAAUACUUUGUGUUUUAAUUUCACAUUAAUUUCCAUAUUGUAUAAACGACUGGAAAAAACUUGAGCCCCUGCCCCUGUAUAAUCAUGUGCAUGUCUCUGUUCUAGCUCCAAGGUGAAUCUUCACUGCUCAUGUUCUCCUCAGAAGCACUCACCUCACUCCCCUCAGGUUACUGUACACAUGCACCAACUGCCUGCUUCAGGUUUGGAUGGAGCUUCAUGGUUGUCUUUUGGAGAAAUGACCAAUCAAGUUGUGUUUGAAAUUUGAUUUUUUUCAGGGGCAAAAGGAGCCUCUGCAUUCUUGUCAAAUAUGUAAAUAGCAUGUUUUUGCAGGUGCUAAAAACCAGACUCUGAGUGUGUGUGUGUGUGUGUGUGUGUGUGUGUGUGUGUGUGUGUGUGUGUGUGUGUGUGUGUGUGCGUGUGUGUGUGUCUGUGUGUGCGUUCAAGUCACAUGACAUAUUUAAUCGGAUGUAGCUGCAAGACGGAGCCUCGUUGACUCUCCGUUUCAACUUAUCUCAAAAGUGAGGAGCUCAACCUAUAUACCAGUUUUUAAAUUGUGUUGAUAGGCCAAAUAAAACCAGAGUUAUGAUAAAUUAUGUCCGCGAUACUUUUUUUCUGCUUAUUUUGAUCACGUUCGGCGCUCGAUCGCGCUGUAUGAGACAGGAAAACAUAGCAUGCAGACAUUAGCGACAGGUCUUACAGGCGGAAAAGGUUUGCCAAAAGAAAAAAAAAACACACCACAACAUCUCUCCUAUUGGUGGAAAACUUCACCACAACAACCAAUCCAAAAUUAUAUGGUGACUGAUUGACAAGGGGCGGGCGCUUACGUUCUUCCUGCAACAUGAGAAGGGAGGGAGGGACUCUCAGCAGGGAUGCAGUCUGGGAAACGUAGUUGCAAACCUAGCGACUUUGUUGUUAGAUUCAAUGACUUUUCAGACCCCCUAACGACUUUUUUUAGAAAGAAAGGGACUUUUAUCGACUUCUUCUGGAGUUUAGAGACUCUGACAUGAAGCAGGCUUUCCUUACUGAGGAGUUAGCAACGCUGCUAAGGGUGCAGAGCCACACAUGCGCUCAGAGCUCUGCAUGGGAGACUGAAGCUGACAGAGCUGCAGCAGUUAGCAGGUUUCACCCUCAGAGACCACCAGGGGUUCAUGUUGAGGCAUUUUAAUUUUUUUUUUUUUGUGCCAUAGACACUGUCAGCACAAUCUGCAGUUACACUAACAAAAAUGCUCCAAAAAACAAAGAAUUAUGGAAAAAUUACACAUGGACUGACAUAGAGGAGGAUCUACACAAGUUUUUUACAUCAUGUUUUACAUCAUGCAUCAUUUACAUCAUGUUUUUUUGUAGUGGCAUAAAUAAAAAGUGACAUUUGUGAGACUAUACAGUGUUUUGUAAAUAAUUUUACAAAGAACGCCUGGGCCAUUGCCUGCAUUUUGAUGAAAAUAGUGUAAAUCACUAUGUUCUUUGUUAAAAAUUUGCAUAUGUUUUGAAGUUUACAAUUUUUAUUUGAAGUUUAAGUUUUAAAAACAGUUCAUCACACAUAUUUGUGGUUUUCACAGUAAAAAUGUUACUUUUUUCCACUCGGAUUUUAUGUUUUGUGUGUGAAUUUGGGUCCAUUGUGUAAAUUCAGUAUGUCAACAUGAUAAAAUAACUGUAAAUUCGCACAGGUGAGGUUGUGCUGAAAAAAAUGAUACCAGGCAAGGCACGUGAUUGUCAAAUUUUGUGUCAAUAUGACAAAGCGUAUAGGCGUGAAUCUCAACAAUAUGUAUUUUCACCUUAGGGGACAAGAAAAAAUGGACUUUUUUCUCCUGCCAUGGGGGGCGCUCUUUUGGGGAGUAAAAAUUCCUUCACAAAUGUGUUGAUGGCUGGACAUUGCAUCAUCCUAGAAAACUUGGAGGCCAGUGAGGACAAAAAUAAAAAGUUAUAAGACUUUGAAAUAUGUGGAUUUUAGGGUUAUCUUUGGCGCCCCCUAGAACCUAAACCGUGGGGUGCAGCGUCAUGAUUUGAAUAACUUUUAAUGGCCAUGGGGUGUAGAUUGUCCUGAGCAAAUGUGGUGCCGGUGGAACGAAAGCCUUAGGAGGAGUUAGCCACAUUCCAAUGUUUGCGGAUCGGCAAAAAAUGCGGAAUAACCCUUUAACCGUACAUUUGACAGAUACGCGCGCAUUGACUUUUUCGUAGAUCUUAUUGAGUUACAUGUGCGUGUCAAUUUUUGUGUCAUUUUGACAAAGCGUAUAGGCGUGACACUCAACAAUGUGUAUUUUCACCUUAGGGGACAAGAAAAAUGGACUUUUUUCUCCUGCCAUGGGGGGGCGCUCUUUUGGGGAGUAAAAAUUCCUUCACAAAUGUGUUGAUGGCUGGACAUUGCAUCAUCCUAGAAAACUUGGAGGCCAGUGAGGACAAAAAUAAAAAGUUAUAAGACUUUUAAAUAUGUGGAUUUUAGUGUUAUCUUUGGCGCCCCCUAGAACCUAAACCUUGGGGUGCAGCGUCAUGAUUUUGAUAACUUUUAAUGGCCACGGGGUGUAGAUUGGCCUGAGCAAAUGUGGUGCCGGUGGAACGAAAGCCUUCGGAGGAGUUAGCGAAAUUCCAAUGUGUGCGGAUCGGCAAAAAAUGCGAAAUAACCCUUUAACCGUAAUUUUGACAGAUACGGCCGCACUGACUUUUUUGUAGAUCUUAUUGAGAUACAUAUGUGUGUCAAUUUUUGUGUCAAUAUGACAAAGCGUACAGGCGUGACAGUCAAUAGUGUGAAUUUCCACCUUAGGGGGCGCUAUGGAGCCAUUUUGUAUUUUCUUGUUUGGGCGACUUCAGAAUAUCGAAUUUUUCACCUGGCCCGGUCGUCCUGCCAAAUUUCAUGAGUUUUCGCCAGUGGGAAGUGGGCCAUUUUCCAGUUCAAAGGGGAGGAAAAAGAAGAAAGAAAGAAAGAAUUACUAUGUUCUUUGUUAAAAAUUUGCAUAUGUUUUGAAGUUUACAAUUUUUAUUUGAAGUUUAAGUUUUAAAAACAGUUCAUCACACAUAUUUGUGGUUUUCACAGUAAAAACGUUACUUUUUUCCACUCGGAUUUUAUGUUUUGUGUGUGAAUUUGGGUCCAAUGUGUAAAUAUAGUAUGUCAAAAUGGUAAAAUAACUGUAAAUUGACACAGGUGAGGUUGUGCUGAAAAAAAUGAUACCAGGCAAGGCAAGGUAAAAA